CUUGUACUCCCUCCGUCCGGAAAUACUUGUCCUAAAAAUGGAUAUAUUGGAUGUAUCUAUAACUAAAAUAAGUCUAGAUUCAUCCAUUCCUAGGACAAGUAUUUCC
rfam:Hordeum vulgare subsp. vulgare, WGS project CAJW01000000 data, contig: morex_contig_441987